CUUGCAGCUACGCCAUGGUUGAAUACAGUUCUGACUCUUAUUAUGAUACAUAUCGCUUCUUGAAGAACUUAACGGACGUUGAUGAUGUCUUACCUGCCUACACCAAGUUGCAAAAGGUGGCGAUGGAUUGGCGGAUUGGUGCACUGAAUUGCAAACAAGCGCGAUUGAAUCCCACUGAUUACGUGUGUCAAAAUAACACUGACUGCAUUGAUUUUCAUGAUACGGUUGGAGGCUAUCUCUGCAGUUGUUCCAUUGGAUACUGAGGCAAUCCUUACCUUACCCCAGGCUGCCAAGAAAUUAAUGAAUGCGCUGAUAAUACGACAAAUUCAUGUCACGCAAAUUCAAUUUGCGUUAAAAGCCCUGGAUCUUAUAAUUGCUCAUGUCCGAAAGGGUAUAUCGGUGAUGGGAGGAAAGAUGGAGUAGGGUGUAUCCAGCUUCCACCAUCCAAGUCCAAGAUGAUAAGUUUAAUAGGGAAACGGUCUACAAAGGAAUGUUAUACAAUGGCAAAAUUGUGGCAAUAAAGAAAUCAAAGUUGGUCGAGGAGAAUCAAAUAGAACAGUUCAUUAAUGAAGUGGCGAUAUUAUCGCAGAUUAAUCACAGGAAUGUCGUCAGAUUAUUGAGGUGUUGUCUGGAGACUGAGGUUCCUUUGCUUGUUUAUGAAUUCAUGCCAAAUGGGACUCUUUUUAAUCUAUCCACGAUCCCAAUAACGAAUUUCCAUUCUCAUGGAACAUGCGUUUGAAAAUCGCAGCAGAUAUAGCCGGUGCGCUUGCUUACUUACAUUAUGCAUCUUCCGUGCCUAUCUAUCACAGAGACAUCAAGUCUAGUAAUAUCCUUUUGGACGAGAAAUAUGUUGUCAAAGUAUCCGAUUUUGGAACUUCGGGAUCAAUUGCAACAUAUCAGACUCACUUUAGUCAAAAGGACAUUUGGAUAUUUAGAUCCCGAGUAUUUCCAAUCGAGCCAAUUCACAGAAAAGGGUGAUGUUUAUAGUUUUGGAGUAGUUCUUGUCGAAUUGCUCACAGGACAAAGGGCGAUAUCAUUGGAUAAAACGGAUAAUGAUAGAAGCCUAGCAACACGAUUUCUUACUUGCAUGGAGGAGAACUGCCUAGACACAAUUUUAGAUCCUCAAAUUUUAGAGCAGGGUAUAAAGGAAGAGAUGAUUCUACCUAUGAUGAUUUCAGACACUGAAUUCUCUUGGGAAACUAGCUACAAAAGUCCCGCACGAUCGUCUUCAGACAUACAUCCCUUAAUGUUCACAACUGAGUGAAAUUCUAUGGUAUCUAGUUUUUUAAAUUACAGUGUUUCCAGGGAGUUCAUUUAAUGGUGCAGAGGUGAGUACUCAAACUUAUUAAGCUCUCAACUUCAUGUAUCUGUUACUGAUACAGUAUUUCAUUGCUGUUAA